rnacentral:lncRNA from 1 species
CUCCAGAAUCCACUAUCCAUAUCGAGAGACAGAGAGAGGGAGAAAGCCAUUACUUCUGGGAUCCGGCUGACAACCACGGAAGAAACGGCCUCCGUCGCCUGGAGCAUUGGUGCCGUCACAGGAGGGAAGUAAUGCAGCAGACAGGAGAUGGGACAACCAUGGAGGCAUGGAGGCUUGACGGAGCCCCGUUCCUGCCGUCGCUGAAACAGAUCUCGACCACGCCAAUGCCGCCGCCGCCGCCGCCGCGUCAUCUCCUUUCUCAUCCUCUUGAUCUUCCAUCCCCAUGCCCCUGCCAGCCGGCGGCUUCCGGAACGACACCUGCCCCAUGACCUGAACUUGUGCUUCUCCUCGCCGCCACUGCUAGUGCCGCAGGACGCCGCGACCGCCUGAUCCGGCGCUCCCGCUCGAUGAGGUUGCACACGCGGCCGAUGGCCGAGGAGGAUGGGGAGAACGCCGCGGCGCAGGAGCAGGGCAGAGGCGGAGGACUUUUGUUGGUUUUUUAGGGUUUUUGCUCGCCGAAACCGGCCUGCCA